rnacentral:lncRNA from 1 species
CUUUAGUUUCUAAAAAUAUACACUAUCUAACGACUACGGCUCUCCCUUUUUUUUCAUAUAAAAGUGAGCCAAAAGAGUUAAUUAGACGCAGGCGAAGAAGAAGGCAAAGGGAGGGACUCGCCCAAUACCAAAGGCAACUCUUGUGAUUCACGAGACUCUCAACAAAACAAAAGGCAAAGGCAAAAGCAAAUCCACAAACCUAAAACCCCAGCUUCACGAGGAUCAUCACAAGAAGUGUUGUAUUAUGAAGCAAAUCAGGUGAUGAAACGACAAGCUGAUAUUGCGUUUUGAAAAGCAACACACUUGCUCCUUGAACGACAUGUAUGAAGGUCUAUUUGGUUUAAGUGAUGCACAAGAGUUUUCACGUGCACGGAUAAGUUGCUUUCUUGGUUCGUUAGAAUCAGUUAAUUCACAUGCCAGUCACGUGGUCUUCUGGGUUCGUUAUUGAUUCGUUAACAAGCUGUUAUAUACAGCUGAUUCUGGAAACAGAAGAGUGGUGUGUGAGAGAGCUAUUGUGAGUUGAGAAGAUUAAAGAAAAAGCUUCAUGAGAGACUCUGUAAUUAGCUUGCUAAAUUCUAUGUAACAGUCAUUGAACAAUAAAUGAAUUUGGUUCUGUUUCUCCCGGGGAUGUAAGUUAGACUGAAGCUAGCUGAACCACGUUAUUUCUUGUUCUUCUCUUAAUUCAUUAUAGUUCUAGAUUCUUUGUGUAUUCUGUUGGAUUGAUUCUUGGUGCAUCUUGUCUAUGUGAUUUGGAUCUUGGAGAAGUGUUUCGGGUUGUUUGUAUAAUUAGUCACUCAAAAAUAUUAUAAUUGGUAUCAGAGGCUGGACUGCAAACCAGACACAAGUAUGGCUGGUUCAAAGAUCGAUCUAGAGAAGUUCACAAGAAAGAAUAACUUCAACAUGUAGAAGGUUAAGAUGGAGGCACUACUGAUCACUCAAGGGCUGGGUGAUACCUUAGAACCAAUCAUCAAGAAAGAGGGAUUGGAAGCCUCCACAUCAUCAUCAUCACUAACACCACAACAAGCUGCUGAGAUUGACAAGAAAGGAAGGAGUACCAUAAUCUUGAGUCUUGGAAACUCUGUGAUCAGGGAAGUUGCAAGAGAAAAAACAGUGGCUGAUCUGUGGGCAAAGCUUGAAAGGGUGUAUAUGACUAAAUCAUUAGCCAACAAACUUUACAUCAAGAAAAGGAUGUUCACAUUAAAGAUGGCUGAAGGAUCAUCUCUUGAAGAUCACAUAGAUGAAUUCAACAAAGUCUGUGAUACACUGGAAAUAAUUGAUGAAGGUUUAGAUGAUGAAGGUAAAACAUUGCUUCUGGUAAGUUCACUUCCAUCCUCAUAUUCAAACUUUGUGGAUGCACUUAUGUAUGGGAGACAAACUUUAUCAUUAGAUGAAGUUAAGGCUGCUCUGAAUAUUAGAGGGCUGCAAGAAAAGUCAGGGAAUAUGAACUCUGGAGAAGUGUUGGCAGUAAAAGCAAGAACUGAUAAGUAUGAUAGCAAGAAAAAGAAGCAAGGGAAUAACAAACAAAAGACUAAAAGCAAGAAGUGCUUUCAGUGCCAGAAAGAAGGGCAUUUCAAGAAAGAUUGCCCAGAAUUAAAAAGCAAGAAAAGGGAGCAAAAUGGAGCUGCUACUACUGCUGAGGAAGAAGGGUAUGAGUCAGCAGGAGUAUGUGUGGCUACAGAGCAUGUGCAAAAAGGUACCUGGAUUCUAGACUCAUAUUGUACAUUUCAUAUGUGCCCCUUUAAAGAUUACCUAUUAAACUAUCAUGAAACUGAUGGAUGAAAAGUUAUGAUGGGUAACAAUGUUGUUUGUAAGAUUGUGGGGAUAGGAAAUGUAAACCUAAAAUUGCAUGGUGGUACAAUAAGGGAACUAAAGGAAGUUAGGUAUGUUCCAGAACUCAAAAGAAACUUAAUAUCUCUAGGUAUGCUUGACCAAAUGGGGCUUAGCAUUAAGCUUGAAUCUGGUGAGCUGAGAAUUUCAAAUGGUGAUGGGGUUUUUAUGAAAGGUGACAUGAUUCAAAAGUGUAUUACUCUCAAGUAUAAGAGUGUAUAGUUAUAAUAUAACCUGGUGAGACAGGGGUCGAACCACAGGGAGUUUAAAUCUAGUAAAACUAAGAAAAUUAAUUGUGGGAAAAAGAAAUUAUUUGAAAUUAAUUUAAAAAUAAGCUAAGGUUUAGGAUCCACUCUCUGUAUUCAAACUAUAAUUUUAAUACUCUCUCAUUUAUAUUUUGCCUCACUUUUACCAAUUAAUUAUUAUAUCAUUUAAUUCUAUGUGUGUGGAUAAAUAUAGAAUAAAGUAUCUAAUGUGCCACAUUAUAUUAAUGUGUCGACAGUAUGUCAAAAUACUAUAAAAUCCAGUGAGAUUUAUAAAUUAACAUGACAUAAAAAUAUUUAGAAAAGAAUUAAAUAAACUUAAAAACUCAUUUGAGAAAAUAAUAUUUAAUAGUUUAAAACAUUGAGCUUUAUCUUUCACCUCAGCUUAAUAAAAUUAGCUACUCAUAUUGAAAGAAAACACAACACUCUUUUUAUUUGAUAAACUUUUUGAAAUAUAUUAUAAAGAAAAUUGAUACAAACGGAAAUAAGAAAAAAAAGAAACAAAGAAACAAAGAAAAUCUUUAGUCUCAACUUCAGCUCUCGAAUUAGCUCUCUCCGCUCUUGAAAAAAUCCACCCCCUAACUUGCAUCCCCUUACUUUUUACAGGCAAGGGAGUCGUCUUGUUUUAUUUUAUUUUAUUUUCAUAUUAUAGNNNNNNNNNNNNNNNNNNNNNNNNNNNNNNNNNNNNNNNNNNNNNNNNNNNNNNNNNNNNNNNNNNNNNNNNNNNNNNNNNNNNNNNNNNNNNNNNNNNNNNNNNNNNNNNNNNNNNNNNNNNNNNNNNNNNNNNNNNNNNNNNNNNNNNNNNNNNNNNNNNNNNNNNNNNNNNNNNNNNNNNNNNNNNNNNNNNNNNNNNNNNNNNNNNNNNNNNNNNNNNNNNNNNNNNNNNNNNNNNNNNNNNNNNNNNNNNNNNNNNNNNNNNNNNNNNNNNNNNNNNNNNNNNNNNNNNNNNNNNNNNNNNNNNNNCGGUACAGCAGUUUUUUUUAUUUUAUUUAUUAUUUAUUAUUACAUCUCUUCAAUUGUGUUCCAGUAGUUCUUCUUUAUUCUCACUUUCAAUUCCAAUUCCAUCUUUAUUCCUGAAAAAUAUUUACAAGAUAAAAAUCAACAUAUUGCGAAUUAAUUUAACAUAAAAAUAUAUUUAGGGAGUGUUAAGAUAAUUUAAUAAUAAUGAGUACAUUAAUCAACACUUUAAGUGAAAAACUAAUAAUUUUACCUUAUUAUGUGUUUACUUCUUCCAUCAGAUUGAUGACAAUAAUAAAAUAAAAGUAUAAGCAUUAUCUUCAGCCUAAAGAAAAUUACACUCGCACAAAAUAAUUUAGUAAAAUCCUAUAAAAUGAUCAAUUAUCAGAGCUACAUUAAUCAAGCCAUUUUUAAGAAUGAUACAUCAAACCACAAAAUCUCACGAUUAAGAGUGACUCUCUCAAAAGAAUAUAUAUCCCAAAUUAAUUUGUCACUCAAAAAAAGGUAAAUCUGAGAGAAUAAUAAAACAAUAUCACACGCUCUCACCAAGAUAAAAAAAUAAUGCCCACAACUUAGAAAUAAUAUGAUCUCAAGUCCAAUGAAUUACUAGCAAAUUUUAUUUUUAUUUUUAUGCAUCACCACAUUUUUUAGUCCAUAUUACCAGCUUUUACUUCAGACUAUAGUUCCGAAAAUCGAGAAGGACUUUUAGUAGGACGUAACGUAGGCUAGGGUUAUUACUAACAAAAAAGGUAAUAGGGAAAACAAAAAUAUAUGUUUGAAAAAUAGGGGACCUUGUGGAGAUUAUAAGGUGCUUUUUUUUUUGCUUGGAUUUUUUCUUCUUUUUUAUUUUUUUUAUUAAUUGAUAUAUACAUAUCGUCUUUUUUUUUUUUUUUAUAGCACCAUUAUUAGGAAUACAUAAUCAUCCCUAUUUUUAAACAUAAUUGGGUGAUGGAAAACAUAAAACAUAAGGUGAUACUCUUCAUUGGAGUAGGAAAAUAUGAUAGGUUACCAAAGAAAUUUUUUAUUUUUUUCAAAUGCUCAAAGGGGUUAACUAUGGAUUCUUUAUAAUAGAGUUGGCUAGAAAGGCUCAAACGGAUCAAAGAUGGCCUUCUAUCAUCUUUUAGGGUUCCAUAUAAUCUUUCAUAUCCACUAGUUCAAUGGACUUUUAGAUGCGGCUGCACAAAAUAUAUAUUUUUUUAUAUUUAGAUCUUGUACAAUAAAUUGUGAACCUGUAUAGGCAAACAAGGUCACUCUCCAAGGAUAAUAGGCUAAAAAACUCGCUUGGUCUUUUCAGAACAUGUACAUUCCUCCAAAUGGCUUAAUCAAUUUCACUCAUUCAAUUUCUCAAUUUACGUUUCAACAUGCAAAGGGAAAAAUAUAGUGUAACAUAACUCAAAACCAAAGAUAAUACGAAUACCAAAAUUUGAAAAUCAUCAUGUUAUCCAAUGUUAAAAGAUCACACUGAAAAAGAAAAUAAUUUUUUUUAAGAAAACACUAAAAAAUUGGAACUAAUUGCAGAAACUUAAGUAGAUGAUUAAGAAAAAAAAGAAAAAGACUGAAAAUAAAAAGUUAGAAACAAUUUUUUUUUUUGAAGAAAACACUAAAGUUAAGAAGAUGCGUUUCUACACACAUUACAUUAUAUAUUCUACCAUCUUCGACUUAAAAUUUUAUCCAAAGUUAGUCUUUAUAACAAAAAUUAGUAAAAACAUCACUAGGACUGAGAUAUUCCACAAUUAUCAAUUAUUCCCUCCCCCCCUGCUCAAAGUCAUGGGAUCUGGCUUUGGUUUGUAAGCUUGCAAAAGAUCAAGUAACUCAUUAGCAGUAGGAGCACAAAUGAAAAGUUUUUUCGCUGAGGAUUGAAUGAAAUAAUUUUUUAUUGCAUGAUUAAGAAAUGUUAUUAAGCCAUCAUAAAAGUUAUUAACAUUUAACAAACCGAUGAGUUUUUUUAUGGAUAUUCAAAUGGGCCCAAGAAGCCAAUGUAAUUAGCGCCUCCAAAGUUGUAAGGUCUCCUAACAAGAAAAUAAAAGCAUCAGCAUGAUUCAACAUUUCAGAUAUUCUUUCUUGUAUACCUGAGACAACUAACUCUUCUCUAGUUGGUGAGUCUGGUAGACAUCUUAAAGGUUUUAAGGCUUUUGGAAUGAUGCCUAGCACUUGGCUUCCUCGAACGAAAGUAACAAAAUGCGUUUCUAAAGACACUAUAUUCUAUAUUCUGCCAUCUUCGACUCAAAUUUUUAUCCAAGGUAGUCUUUACAACAAAAAUUAGUAAAAACAUCACCAGGACUGAGACAUUCCACAAUUAUCAACUAUUCCCUUCCCCCAACCUGAAGGAGACACUGUCCUCAAUGUCUAAAGAAAGGAGUAGAGUUUAUAAUAUAUCACCUGACCACUGCAGAAAAUAUUUACAAACAGAGAGUUAAAUCUAAUUUACACUUUUUACGAGAGUUAUUGCCAUCGUCAUCAAUUGCCCAAUCCAACGCCAAAGUCAUGGGAUCUGGCUCUGGUUUGUAAGCUUGCAAAAGAUCAAGUAACUCAUUAGUAGUAAGAGCACAAAUAAAGAGUUUUUUCGCUGAGGGUGGAAUGAAAUAAUUUUAAUUGCAUGAUUAAGAAAUGUUAUUAAACCAUUAUAAAAGUUAUUAACAUUUAACAAAUCGAUGAGUUUUUUAUGGAUAUUCAAAUGGGCCCAAGAAGCAAAUGUAAUUAGCGACUCUAAAGUUGCAAGAUCUCCAGGCAAGAAAAUAAAAGUGUCAGCAUGAUUUAACAUUUCAGAUAUUCUUUCUUGCAUACAUGAGACAACUAACUCUUCUCCAGUUGGUGGGUCUAGUAGACAUCCUAAAGGUUUUAAGGCUUUUGGAAUGAUGCCUAGUACUUGGCUUCCUCGAAUGAAAGCAGCUUCAGAGACAAGCUUUGAUAACCCUCGGUCACCUCCUUCAUAUACAAGAUGUAGUUUCCUCUCUGUUAUAGCACGACUAAGAUCUAUGGCUGCCUGAACGAACUCCUUAUACUUUCCAUAGCGAAAUCCAAAAAACACACAAAUGUUCUUUAAUUGUCUGCUUGAAGUUUAUGCCUGCCAUUAGAACAAUUCUAAAAAGAAACAAUUUGUGAAUGCUUGAAAAUGAGCUCUUAUUUAAGGAUCUUAGUGAUGGACAUAAUGAUACACGUCUGUAAAUGGAGUGAUGUGUUUGUCAAAUGACGCGUGAAGCUUUUAGCUUAAUAAUUCAAAGGCAAACAGUCAAAAAGAAAAAGCAAACAGUGAUUAGAUAAAAUAAAAAAAACAAUAAUAAUAAUAAUGCAAAAGAUAAAAGAACAGUAAAAUAAAAGGAUAUUUACUAGUAGUUGUGAUUGUGGCUUACAUCUUCCUCUGGUUUUACAUCCAGUAACGGCUUGAACGCCCUCUAUAGGUCGAGGAUAGUCUUCCCAUCCAGUUUUCUUAUAAACUGGCAAACAAUGUCUUUUAGAGUCAGAUUCCUAAGACUAAACUGUGCACUUUCCUUUUGGAACAACUUCCACAAAUUUUGAAUUUCACGUUGAACAUAUCCACUUGGAUGCGUCUCAAGAGAUCGUAAGAUAUCAUCCAACGAUUCUUUACUUAUGCCAUCCUUAACGAAUUUGAUUUUAUCUUCACGAUUUACAAAAACCAUUCCUAAAGUUUUACAACGUGGAUUUUUGCAAGCAAGUCGUACAUAGUGAGGACAUUUAGAGCCAAGUCGCUAAGCUCUUCUUUUCUUAGCAAAUGUAUUUUUACCAAAAUCAAGCAUGUAGGAAAUGAAUGGAUCAGAAAACUCACCUGCCAAUCGGACCUUUGCUUCAAUUAACCAGUGAAUGUCAGUAGGAAUCCCAUUGAUCAUUAACAAACGCAGUCGUUCACAACGAGCUUUGUAAAUCUUCUUAAGAGCAUUUUGAGGGAGAGAAGGAAAAUGUUGAUGCAAAUUUUGUUGUAUUUCUUCCAUGCUUGACAUUGAGGUUUUAGUUAUUGUGGGAAACUGAGAAUACCGACUUAAAAAGUCACAUAGUACCGUUAUCCACCAUUUACACGGGAGAGUAAAUAAAAACAAAUCAAAUCUACAAAAUCAAAUUAAAAGUAAAAAAGAACAAUAAAAUUAAAAAAACACACAAGGAAUAUAACUCACCUUCGUCCUUUUAUUGAAUCCAGUUCUAAUUACAGAUUAUAAAUACCAUCUUCUAUUUCCUUGAGUUGUCUUUCUAGAUCUUUCACGUGGGAUACUAACUCUGGUGGUUGCAGAUCCCAAAUGGGAUGUAAUUUACAAAAUCGGAGCAAUUUCCUCAGGUGAAAUUUUACAUGAAAAAACAUUUUAAGAUGAUCGAAAAGGAAAUUUCUCAUGGAGGUACUUAUGACAAGUAUAAAAAUUUGGUGAGCUUAAUCCCAAUUGUCAAACUACAUAUAAUUAAAACAAUGCAAUGCACUCCAUUCAAGACAUAGGGAAAAGGAAAAAGAAAAAAAUUAAAUAAUUCAAAUGAUAAAGUAACAGUAAAUCAAAUUCACAAAAUAUUAAAAUGAAAAGGCUUAAUAAAAAAUUUGGUGGGUCAAUCAAAUGGAUUUCAGUAUCUGCUUCAUGUGGUUGGUAUUCCAGAUAUAGUUUCAAUCUUUGGCCAUUAACUUUAAAUGUGACACCAUCCUUUGGAUUCUUAAUUUCUACGGCUCUAUAUGGAUACACAUUUUUUACAACAAAUGGACCAUUUCACUUUGACUUUAACUUCCCUGGAAAUAAAUGAAGACGAGAAUUAUAAAGCAACAUUUUUUGACCAAUUUCAAAUGUUUUUCGAAAAAUUCUUUUGUCAUGAAAAAAUUUGGUUCUUGCCUUAAUAAUUCUGGAAUUCUCAUAUGCAUCAUUCCUUAAUUCCUCAAGUUCAUUUAUUUGCAAUUUACGCACAUUACCAGUAUCAUCAAUAUUUGAAUUAAACGCUUUAAUGGCCCCAAAAUGAUUUAUGUUCAAGUUCUACUGGUAAGUGGCAAGAUUUUCCAUAAACAAGCCGAUAGGGUGACAUUCCUAAAGAUGUUUUAAAAGCAGUACGAUAUGCCCAAAGUGCAUCAAUUAGUCGAAGAGAUCAAUCUUUACGGUUUGGAUUAACUGUCUUUUCAAAAAUUUGUUUUAUCUCCCUAUUUGCUAAUUCAACUUGACCACUUGUUUGAGGGUGAUAAGGAGUAGCAAACUUAUGUGUAAUUCCAUAUUUCUUCAUUAAUGACUCAAAUGACUUAUUACAAAAAUGCUUACCUCCAUCACUAAUAAUGGCUCGAAGUAUUCGAAAUCUGCUCAAAAUAUUUUCUUUUAAAAAGCGGAUUACAAUCUUGUGAUCAUUGUGCCAACAAAGAAUCGCCUCGAUCCAUUUUGAAACAUAAUCAACAGCAAUCAAAAUGUAUACAAAUUCAAAUGAUGAUAGAAAAGGGCCCAUAAAUUCAAUUCCCCAAUAAUCAAAUAUUUCAAUGACAAGGAUGGGGUUUAAAGACAUCAUGUUCGCUUUGAAAUAGACCUUACCAUUUGACAAUUCUUGCACAUCUUACAGAAUGCAUGUGAAUCUUUAAAUAAUGUAGGCCAAUAAAAUCCACACUGUAAUAUUUUUGCAGCUGUCUUUUUUAAAGAAAAAUGGCAUAGCAUGCUUCAGAAUGACAAAAUUGAAUGACCCUACUUACCUCGUCGUCUGGUAUGCAUCUUCAAAAAAUUUGAUCGGAGCAAUACUUGAACAGGUAUGGUUCAUCCCAGUAAAAACUUUUUACUUCUGUUAAGAAUUUCUUCUUGUCUUGGAAAUUCCAGUCACAUGGCAUUUCACCUGUUGCAAGAUAAUUAACAAUAUAGCAUACCAAGGCAUUUUGUUUAUAGAAAACAAAAAUUCAUCAGGGAAAAAAUCAUUGAUGGGUGUUGUUUCAAUUGAAGACUCAUUUGUAAGUCUUGAAAGAUGAUCUGCAACAACAUUUUCAACGCCCUUUUUGUCCUUAAUUGUCAAAUUAAAUUCUUGAAGUAGUAAAAUCCAUCGUAUGAACCUUAGUUUGGCAUCCUGUUUUGACAUUAAAUAUCUCACAGUAGCAUGAUCAGAAUAAACAACAGUAGAUGAACCAAUUAAAUACGAACGAAAUUUAUCCAAUGCAAAUAUUAUAGCAAGUAGUUCUUUCUCAGUUGUAGUGUUAUUCAUUUGAGGACUAUUCAAAGUUCUACUUGCAUAAUAGAUGACAAAGGGCUUACCUUCCUUUUUUUGACCCACAACAGCGCCAACGUCAUAAUCACUAGCAUCACACAUUAGUUCAAAAGGUAAAGACCAAUCAGGGGGUUGCAUUAUUGGGGCUGAUGUCAAAAGACUAAUUAUCUUUUCAAAAGCUUGUUGACAAUCUUCAGUCCAUUCAAAUUGUGUAUCUUUUAUUAGGAGGUUACAAAUUGGUCUAGAUAAGGCACUAAAAUCUUUUAUAAACCUCCUAUAAAAUCCUGCAUGUCCUAAAAAAGAACGGACUUCUCUAAUUGUAUUUGGUGAGGGUAAUUUCGAAAUGACUUCAACUUUGGCUUUAUCAACUUCGAUUCCUUUUGAAGACACAAUAUGACCUAAGACAAUUCCAAAAGUAGUCAUGAAAUGACAUUUUUCCCAAUUUAAAACUAGUCCUUUUUCUUUGCACAUUUCCAAAACUUUUUCUAGAUUAUCAAGACAUGUAUCAAAAGAAUUACAAAAUACAGUUAAAUCAUCUAUAAAAACCUCUAGACAAUUUUCAACCAUGUCACUAAAAAUGCUUAGCAUGCACCUUUGAAAUGUUGCAGGAGCAUUACAAAGUCCAAAAGGUAUUCUCCUAAGGCUAUAGGGAUUUGAUAAUAGCCAGAGUAGCCAUCAAGAAUGCAGUAGUAGGGAUGUCCAGCUACUCUUUCGAGAAUUUGGUUCAGAAAUGGAAGGGGAAAAUGAUCUUUUCUAGUGGCGUCAUUUAAUUUUCUGUAAUCAAUGCACAUGCGCCAACUAGAUGGAAUUCGUGUUGGGAUUGGUUCACCUUUUUCAUUUUUUACAACAGUUAUUUCAGAUUUUUUUGGUACUACUUGUGUUGGACUUACCCAUUUACUAUCAGUGAUAGGGUAGAUAAUUUUUACAUCUAGUAGUUUAAGGACCUCAUUCUUUAUCACUUCUUUCAUAUGAGGGUUUAGUCUUCUUUGCGGUUGACGAGUUGUUUUGGCAUUUUCCUCUAAGUGUAUUCGGUGUGUGCAAAUUAAAGGAUUAAUGUCUUUUAUGUCUUUUAAGGUCCAACCAAAUGCAGUUUUAUGCCUUUUUAGUACAGAUAACAACUUACCUUCUUGAUCAUGUGUGAGCUGAGAAGAAAUUACCACCGGAUAUGUCUGUUGUUCUCCAAGAUAGGCAUACUUCAAUUCUUCUGGUAAGGGCUUUAAUUCGAGCUCUGGUGUUUCCUCUUCAUUUGUUUCUUCAGGUUGUACCGUAUCUUCAAAAUUUGAUUGGUCAUCGUCACCUAUAGGUACCUGUAUAUAAUCAAGUGUAGGGCAUAUGUUAGCAGUAUUAAAAUCUAAUUCCUUACUUGAUUCAACAGAACCAGCAAAAUAAAUUUCCACAGAGUUUGUAAAAUUCUCAUCCUGAAUGUGUUCCUCAAUGAUUGGCUCGAUGAGAUCAAUUUCCUCAUUCUCAUUAUCAUCAUCUUCUUGGUGGUGAGGUUGUUUACACAUAUUGAACACAUUGAGUUUUAGUGUCAUGUUGCCGAAAGAUAAGUUCAUUAAUCCAUUCCUGCAAUUUAUCAAAGCAUUAGCAGUAGCUAAAAAUGGUCGACCCAAUAUAACAGGAAUUUGUUUGCAUUCAUUAGCAAUUGGUUCCGUUUCUAGAACAAUAAAAUCCACAGGAUAUAUGAAUUUAUCGACUUGGACUAAUACAUCUUCAAUUAUUCCUCUUGGGACCUUAGUCGAUCUAUCAGCAAGUAAAAGAGUAGUAGAAGUUGGUUUUAACUCACCGAGAUUGAGUUAUUGGUACACUGAGUAAGGAAGCAAAUUAACACUGGCACCAAGAUCAAGUAAAGCAUGUCCAAUUUUAUGAUCCCUAAUAGUGCAAGAAAUAGUUGGACAAUCAGGAUCUUUGUAUUUCAAAGCACUAUUGGUUGAGAGAGUAGAACUUACCUGUUCUGCUUGAAAAGCUCUCUUUUGCACCUUAUGUUUCCUUUUCACUGUGCACAGAUCUUUCAGAAAUUUAGCAUAAAAAGGCACAUGUUUAAUGACAUCCAGUAGAGGAAUGUAGACCUUAACUUGUUUAAAAACUUCAUAAAUUUCUGGACUGUGGUUUGAUUUCUUUGGCUUGAUCAGUGCUUGAGGAAAUAGGGGUACAAGAGGAGAGUUGGUUAUAUCUUCAUGGUUUAAAGGUUCGACAGACUCUUCCCUAUUAGUUAUUUCUUCAUGGUUUAAAGGCUUGACAGACUCUUCCCUAUUUUCUAAAAUUGAAUCUUUAUUAGUUUCACGAGGGUCCACAAUGUGUUUUUUGACUACUUUACCACCACGAAUGGCUAUAACCGAUUUGACUUGACUCAUAUUUUGGUUUCCUGAAUUUUUCAUUUGAGGAUGUUGUUGACUCUUGGGGUUUAGUUCAGGUUGAGCAGGAAACUUUCUUUUUUCAUGUAUGGUUAUAACAGAUGUAAGUUUGGAGAUAGUUUCUGUCAAAUUGGUUAAGGUUUGCAUCGUUUGGUUAUUGAUCGACUCUUGUUUUUCAAUAAACGAAUGCAAUGUGUCUUCCAGAGUUUUUCUUGGUGGUGGGACAUAUGGUGGGUAACUCUAGGAGUUUUGAAAAUUUUGACGUGGAGGAACUAGUUGUGAAGGUUGUGCAUGAUUGUCAUUUCUCCAACUGAAAUUUGGGUGGUUUCUCCAACCAGAGUUGUAAGUUUGGGAGUGUGGAUUUGGAUUUGGCCUUUUGUAAUUGUCAACGACAUUUACUUAUUCAUGCAGACUUUCUCUUAGAGCUGGUAAAGUUAGAUAGUCCUGCGUAGAAUGGUCAGUAGAAUCGCAAACAUAACAUGAAAUAUUUUGAACAGACUUUACAUAAUCAUUUUUUUCGACUCUAAUGCUUCAACUUUUCUAGCUAAUGAUGCAAAUUUGGCUUGAAAAUCAUGGUAUUCCCUAAGGUUAUGCAUGCCUCCACCAGAUGGAGAUGACUGGGGUUUACUAGACGACUCAUAAGAACCAACUGUAUCCCAGUGUUGUGCAUUUUAUGCUAUAUAGUCAAGAUAGUCUAAUGCAUCUUUAGGACUUUUAUCCCUAAACUCACCAUUACACAUCAUUUCAACGACUUGUCUACCUUGGGAUGUUAAUCCCUUGUAAAAAUAAGACACUAAUCUCCAUGUUUUAAAACCGUGAUGUGGGCAAAUGUUAAGUAGUUCUUUAAACUUAUCCCAACAUUGGUAGAGAGUUUCUCCUAGUUUUUGAGUGAAAGUGGUGAUUUUGUUCUGUGGGGUGGGAAGAAUUUUUUCAAAAAUUGUGCUUGUAUUUCAUCCCAAGUUCUGAUGGAUUCUGACCUAAGAUUUUGCAGCCAAGUUUUAGCUUUAUCAUUUAGUGAGAAAGGAAAAAACUUAAGCCUGAUUAUAUUCAUGCUACAAUUUUGAUCAGUACAAGUGUUACAGACUUCCUCGAAUUCCCUUAAAUGCAAAUAUAGAUUUUCAGACUCAAAACCAUGAAAGGUAGGCAAAAGUUGAAUAAUACCAGGCUUGAAAUUAAAACAUGAUGCAUCAGGAGGGAAAACUAUGCAUGAUGGUGACCCUGUUCUAGUAGGAUGCAUGAAGUCUCCAAGGGUCCUAGGUUGUUCAUGAAGAUUUUGCAAGGCUUGGUCAUUUUCAUGCUCUGAAAAAUUUUCAACUCCUAUGUCAGCCAUAUUUAAGGGUGGUGAAGGUGAUUUUCUAAUUAAUCUACCAUUAUUUGUACGAGACCAACGACGCAUGCAAUGCUAAUGAUGUGUGCCAAACUAAUGAUGCAAAAACGCUUAAUGAAAAUUACAGAAAUAAAAAUAAAUUGAAAAUUAAAUAAGUAAAAAAAAUACGAAAUAAAAAUAAACAAACCGAAAAAUAAAUAAAAUAAAUAACUUAGGCGGUGAAACUAGCCAUAAACAAAGAAAUUAAAAGAAACAAUUUAGGCGGUAUUUUAAAACCAGCCAUAUAAUAAAAUAUAAAAUUAAAUUAAUUAAUGCACAAAAAUAAAUAAAUUGAAAUUAAAAUGAUAGGCGGUAGAACCGACCAUAUAAAUAAAAAUACAUAAAUUAACAAAAUUUAAAUAACAGUUAGGCGGUAGAACCGAUCAUUUAAAUAAAUUAGCAAAGUAAAAUUAAAAUGUUAGGCGGUAGAAUCGAUCAUUUAAACAAAAAUACAUAAAUUAACAAAUUUUAAAUAAUAGUCAAGCGGUAGAACCGACCAUAUAAAUAAAUGCGGAAAGUAAAUUGUAGAAAUUUAAAGAAAUAAAUUUGAUUGGGGGACUGAUUUGUAAAGAUUUCUGGGCUAAAAUGAAGUUUCUCACAAAUUUUAUAGAUAAUGUUAAGAUUUGAAAAGAAGAGGGGUGCUAACUGAAGUUUUAGAAAGAGAGAAAAAAAUAGAAUUACGGAAAGAAGGUAAUGUCAAAACAAAAAAAAAUGUAAUAAAAUAAAAAUAAAGUAAAGACAAACUAAUACCAAAUUUAGAAAACUCUCCGGUAGCGGCACCAAAAAUUUGAUACGACUCAAAAGUGUAUUACUCUAAAGUAUAAGAGUAUCUAGUUAUAAUAUAACCCGGUGAGACUGGGGUCAAACCACAGGGAGUUUUAAAUCUAGUAAAACUAAGAAAAUUAAUUGUGGGGAAAAGAAAUUAUUUGAAAUCAAUUUAAAAAUAAGCUAAAAUUUAGGAUCCACUCUCUGUAUUCAAACUAUAAUUUUAAUACUCUCUCAUUUAUAUUUUGCCUCACUUUUACCAAUUAAUUAUUAUAUCAUUUAAUUCUAUAUGUGUGGAUAAAUAUAGAAUAAAGUACCUAAUGUGCCACAUUAUAUUAAUGUGUUGACAUUAUAUCAAAAUACCAUAAAAUCCAGUGAGAUUUAUAAAUUAACAUGGCAUAAAAAUAAUUAGAAAAGAAUUAAAUAAACUUAAAAACUCAUUUAAGAAAAUAAUAAUUAAUAGUUUAAAACAUUGAGCUUCACCUUUCACCUCAGCUUAAUAAAAUUAGCUACUCAUAUUGAAAGAAAACAUAACACUCUUUUUAUUUGAUAAACUUUUUGAAAUAUAUUAUAAAAAAAAUUGAUACAAACGGAAAUAAGAAAAGAAAAGAAACAAAGAAAGAAAGAAAAUCUUCAGCCUCGGCUUCAGCUCUUGAAUUAGCUCUCUCCGCUCUUGAAAAAAUCCACCGCCGGCUUGCAUCCCCUUGCCUUUUAUAGGCAAGGGAAUCGUCUUAUUUUCUUUUAUUUUAUUAAUAUUACUGCUGUACCGUACAUCCGCCUUGGCCGUACAGCAGGAUGGAUUGGAUAUGGAUUUACUUCUGUAAAUCCGUAGAAAUCCGUGAAUCCGCAAAAAAAAAAUUAUAUAUAUAUAUAAUUAAAAAAUUAUAAAUGUGACAUUGCAUAGUUACUAAGCAUUAUAACAUAUCUUAGCCAUUACCCAAUAAUAAUAUAAAAUGAAAAAUAAUUAAAUAAUCAAAUAUACAAAUAAUUUAGAAAAUAAUGAACGCAUUAAUCGACACAAUAAGUGAAAAACUAAUAAUUUUAUCCUUAUUAAAUGUACACUUUUUAGUGUCAAUCAAAAAGUUACAAAAGAAAUGGGGUAUAUGUCUUGGAUGGGGAAGCCAUAACUGGUUUGUCAGGAGUGUCAAUCAGUUUAAGCUGUGAUAACACUUUGUUGUGGCAUCUUAGAUUAGGACAUAUGAGUUUAAAAUGUCUGAAAGAAUUACAGAAGCAAGGGGUUCUAGGCACCAGUCAAAUCUCAGAACUGGAUUUUUGUGAAGAUUGUGUACUAGGCAAAGCUACAAGAAAUAGCUUUGGAAAAUCAGUUCAUUCAACCAAAGGCAUCCUUGAAUAUAUACACUCAGACUUAUGGGGACUAACACAGACAAUUUCACUAGGUGGUAACACCUAUUUCUUGUCUUUAAUAGAUAAUUAUUCAAGGAGAGUAUGGGCUUAUGUCGUAAAGCACAAGGAUCAGGUAUUUGGUAAGUUCAGAGAGUGGAAAUCCCUGGUUGAAAAUCAAACUAGAUUGAAGGUGAAGAAACUCAGAACUGACAAUGGUCUUGAGUUUUGCAAUCAGGAGUUUGAUAACUACUGUGCAGAUCAUGGCAUUGCAAGGCAUAGAAUAGUAAGGCUGACACCUCAACAAAAUAGGUUAGCCGAAAGAAUAAACAGAACCCUGAUGGACAGAGUAAGAAGCAUGAUGAUCUAGUCACAACUUCCUAAAGGAUUGUGGGCUGAGACUCUGUUAACAACAAGCUAUCUUGUAAAUCUAAGUCCCUCUACAGCACUUGACUUCAAAACCCCAUUUGAGAAAUGGCAUGUAAAACUAGCAAACUAUGGCAGCCUCCAAGUAUUUGGAUGUCUAGCAUAUGCACAUGUAAGCCAAGGGAAGUUGGCUCCAAGAGCCCUUAAAUGUAAGUUCAUUGGGUAUCCUGAAGGUGUUAAGGGAUUCAAACUGUGGUGUACAUACCUUAAUCCUCGUAAGUGCAUAAUCAGUAGAGAUGUAAUAUUCAAUGAGAAUACUGCACUGGAAAUGAAGAGAUCUGCUGAUACAGAUGCACAAAAGGAUAAGAAUAAGACCAAAGUUCAGUUUGAGGUGGAGCCCCACAACAGAGAAGCUUCAGGAGAUGAAGAUAAUGCUGAUCAUGAAAACGAUCAAGCAAAGUAGACUGAAGCUCAGCAUUAGGAAUACUAGCUGACAAGAGACAGAGAAAAAAGGAAAGUAAAAGCACCACUCAGAUAUGGAUAUGCAGAUCUGAUAGCCUAUGCACUAACAGCAUCUCAUCAAAUUGAUGAUGAUGAACCCAAGAACUACAAGAAAGCUAUCCAAGGUCCAUACAGAGAUGAAUGGAAAAAGGCAAUGAAAGAAAUCUCCUCAUUGAAGAAAAACAAUACAUAGGAGCUUGUUAAAAGACCUGCAAAUAGCAGAACAGUAAGAUGUAAAUGGAUCUACAGAGUCAAAGAUAGAUUAACAGCUACUGAACCUAAAAGAUUCAAAGUUAGGUUAGUAGCUAAGGGGUACACUCAGAGGGCUGAGGUAGAUUUCAAAGAGGUUUUCUCACCAGUAGUCAAACAUGCAUCAAUCAGAGUACUACUGGCUUUAACAGCUGUAAAAGACAUGGAGCUUGAUCAACUNNNNNNNNNNNNNNNNNNNNNNNNNNNNNNNNNNNNNNNNNNNNNNNNNNNNNNNNNNNNNNNNNNNNNNNNNNNNNNNNNNNNNNNNNNNNNNNNNNNNNNNNNNNNNNNNNNNNNNNNNNNNNNNNNNNNNNNNNNNNNNNNNNNNNNNNNNNNNNNNNNNNNNNNNNNNNNNNNNNNNNNNNNNNNNNNNNNNNNNNNNNNNNNNNNNNNNNNNNNNNNNNNNNNNNNNNNNNNNNNNNNNNNNNNNNNNNNNNNNNNNNNNNNNNNNNNNNNNNNNNNNNNNNNNNNNNNNNNNNNNNNNNNNNNNNNNNNNNNNNNNNNNNNNNNNNNNNNNNNNNNNNNNNNNNNNNNNNNNNNNNNNNNNNNNNNNNNNNNNNNNNNNNNNNNNNNNNNNNNNNNNNNNNNNNNNNNNNNNNNNNNNNNNNNNNNNNNNNNNNNNNNNNNNNNNNNNNNNNNNNNNNNNNNNNNNNNNNNNNNNNNNNNNNNNNNNNNNNNNNNNNNNNNNNNNNNNNNNNNNNNNNNNNNNNNNNNNNNNNNNNNNNNNNNNNNNNNNNNNNNNNNNNNNNNNNNNNNNNNNNNNNNNNNNNNNNUUUUAUUUUAUUUUUUUUUUAUAUAUAUAUAUAUAUAUAUAUUGAAUUGUGUGAUGGUCAGGAGGCGUGAUGGCCUCCUGACCAUCACCAACAUGCUUUUGUUCUUUGGUUUUUUUAUUUUAUUUAUUUUUAUUAUUACAUCUCUUUAAUUAUGUUCCAGUGGUUCUUCUUUGUUCCCGCUUUCAAUUCCAACUCCAUUUUUAUUCCUGAAAAAUAUCUACAAGAUAAAAAUUAACAAAUUACGAAUUAAUUUAACAUAAAAUAUAUUUGGGGAGUAUUAAAAUAAUUUAGAAAAUAAUGAACGCAUUAAUCGACACAAUAAGUGAAAAACUAAUAAUUUUAUCCUUAUUAAAUGUACACUUUUUAGUGUCAAUCAAAAAGUUACAAAAGAAAUGGGGUAUAUGUCUUGGAUGGGGAAGCCAUAACUGGUUUGUCAGGAGUGUCAAUCAGUUUAAGCUGUGAUAACACUUUGUUGUGGCAUCUUAGAUUAGGACAUAUGAGUUUAAAAUGUCUGAAAGAAUUACAGAAGCAAGGGGUUCUAGGCACCAGUCAAAUCUCAGAACUGGAUUUUUGUGAAGAUUGUGUACUAGGCAAAGCUACAAGAAAUAGCUUUGGAAAAUCAGUUCAUUCAACCAAAGGCAUCCUUGAAUAUAUACACUCAGACUUAUGGGGACUAACACAGACAAUUUCACUAGGUGGUAACACCUAUUUCUUGUCUUUAAUAGAUAAUUAUUCAAGGAGAGUAUGGGCUUAUGUCGUAAAGCACAAGGAUCAGGUAUUUGGUAAGUUCAGAGAGUGGAAAUCCCUGGUUGAAAAUCAAACUAGAUUGAAGGUGAAGAAACUCAGAACUGACAAUGGUCUUGAGUUUUGCAAUCAGGAGUUUGAUAACUACUGUGCAGAUCAUGGCAUUGCAAGGCAUAGAAUAGUAAGGCUGACACCUCAACAAAAUAGGUUAGCCGAAAGAAUAAACAGAACCCUGAUGGACAGAGUAAGAAGCAUGAUGAUCUAGUCACAACUUCCUAAAGGAUUGUGGGCUGAGACUCUGUUAACAACAAGCUAUCUUGUAAAUCUAAGUCCCUCUACAGCACUUGACUUCAAAACCCCAUUUGAGAAAUGGCAUGUAAAACUAGCAAACUAUGGCAGCCUCCAAGUAUUUGGAUGUCUAGCAUAUGCACAUGUAAGCCAAGGGAAGUUGGCUCCAAGAGCCCUUAAAUGUAAGUUCAUUGGGUAUCCUGAAGGUGUUAAGGGAUUCAAACUGUGGUGUACAUACCUUAAUCCUCGUAAGUGCAUAAUCAGUAGAGAUGUAAUAUUCAAUGAGAAUACUGCACUGGAAAUGAAGAGAUCUGCUGAUACAGAUGCACAAAAGGAUAAGAAUAAGACCAAAGUUCAGUUUGAGGUGGAGCCCCACAACAGAGAAGCUUCAGGAGAUGAAGAUAAUGCUGAUCAUGAAAACGAUCAAGCAAAGUAGACUGAAGCUCAGCAUUAGGAAUACUAGCUGACAAGAGACAGAGAAAAAAGGAAAGUAAAAGCACCACUCAGAUAUGGAUAUGCAGAUCUGAUAGCCUAUGCACUAACAGCAUCUCAUCAAAUUGAUGAUGAUGAACCCAAGAACUACAAGAAAGCUAUCCAAGGUCCAUACAGAGAUGAAUGGAAAAAGGCAAUGAAAGAAAUCUCCUCAUUGAAGAAAAACAAUACAUAGGAGCUUGUUAAAAGACCUGCAAAUAGCAGAACAGUAAGAUGUAAAUGGAUCUACAGAGUCAAAGAUAGAUUAACAGCUACUGAACCUAAAAGAUUCAAAGUUAGGUUAGUAGCUAAGGGGUACACUCAGAGGGCUGAGGUAGAUUUCAAAGAGGUUUUCUCACCAGUAGUCAAACAUGCAUCAAUCAGAGUACUACUGGCUUUAACAGCUGUAAAAGACAUGGAGCUUGAUCAACUGGAUGUCAAGACAGCCUUUCUGCAUGGAAGAUUACAUGAUGAUAUCUUAAUGACACAACCUGAAGGGUACACAAGUCCAGAAUCUGCUGACUGUGUGUAUCUGCUGAAGAGGUCACUGUAUAGGCUGAAACAAUCACCCAGACAGUGGUAUCUUAGAUUUAAUGAGUUUAUGGUCACUCAUGGAUAUCUAAGAUGCAGCAAUGAUGUAUGUGUUUACUACAAGAUCAUAAAAUCAUGAAACUACAUAUAUCUGUUGUUAUAUGUAGAUGAUAUGUUGAUUGCCUAUAGUGAAAUAAGAGAGAUUGAAGCUUUGAAGUAGCUGCUCAAUUCAUAAUUCGAUAUGAAAGACUUGGGUCCAACUAAGAAGAUUUUGGGUAUGGAAAUAAUAAGGAACAUGAAGAAGGGUACUAUGAUUCUGUCUCAAAUAAAGUAUCUAGAGAAGGUACUUGGAACUUUUAGGAUGUCAAGCAGCAAGUCAGUAGUAACCCCUCUAGCAUCUCAUUUCAACCUGUCUUGUUCACAAUGUCCCAGUACAGAUGAAGAGAGAAGUGAAAUGAUAAAAGUUCCUUAUGCAAGUGUUGUUGGUUGCAUGAUGUAUGCAAUGGUACUUACAAGACUAGACUUAACUCAUGCUUUAAGUGUUGUAAGUAGGUUUAUGGCUACACUUGGAAAGGAACACUGGAAGGCUGUUGAAUAGGUGCUGAGGUAUUUGAAUGGUACACAAAAGUAUGGCCUGGUAUAUGGAAAAUCAGCUGGAAAGGUUGUAGGUCUCUGUGGUUAUGUUGACUCAGACUUUGCUGGGGACUUAGACAGAAAGAGAUCUUUACCUGGUUAUCUGUUCUUCUUGGAUGGUUGCCUUGUAAACUGAAAAGCAAGUUUGCAGCAUGUUGUUACCUUGUCAACAACAAAGGCUGAAUACACUGCUGCAACAGAAGCUGUCAAAGAGGCUCUGUGGCUGAGAGGGUUGAUAACAGAACUGGGAAUGAAGCAGGAGAUUGUUGAAGUUCAUUGUGACAGCUCAAGUGCAAUUUACUUGAGUAAGAACCCAGCCCACCAUGAAAAAACUAAAUACAUAUAUAUCAAGUUACAUUUCAUCAGAAAUGUAAUCUCAAAAAGUGUGAUUAGUAUGGUGAAAGUGCAUACAGAAGAUAAUCCUGCUGACAUGCUUACUAAAGUCGUAACUAUAGCUAAGUUCAAGAGUUGCUUGGAUAAAGCUGGGCUGAGUGAUUUCUAAAAUACUCAGGUUGGAGAAAUCAGGAUUAAGGAGUGAUUUGUUCAAGGUAGAGAAUUGUUGUAUUAUGAAGCAAAUCAGUUGAUGAAACGACCAGCUGAUGUUGCGUUUUGGAAAGCAACACACUUGCUCCUUGAACGACAUAUAUGAAGGUCGUUUUGGUUUAAGUGAUGCACGAGAGUUUUCACGUGCACGGAUAAGUUGCUUUCUUGGUUCGUUAGAAUUAGUUAAUUCACAUGCCAGUCACGUGGUCUUUUGGGUUCAUUACUGAUUCAUUAACAAGCUGUUAUAUACAGCUGAUUCUGGAAAUAGAAGAGUGGUGUGUGUGAGAGCUAUUGUGAGUUGAGAAGAUUAAAGAAAAA